CGACUUCCUCCCAAACUGAGGCGCAGUGGACCGGCGGUGGAGUGACGACAUGUGGCUGAUCGGCGGUGGCGUGGAACUCCAUCGUCUCCAGACUCCAAGUAGAAAUUUUGAUUUGCAGUCUUGCAGAAACCAUUUAAAAGCUUAAAACUUGAAAGAAAGACAGUUGGUCAGUGUGUGCAAUGGCAUGCAAACUGCAACUACAUUGCAACUGGAUCAAGUGACAAAACUGUUCGCUUGUGGGAUGUCCAGAGUGGCGAGUGUGUCAGAAUUUUCAUUGGCCAUAGGAGUAUGAUAUUGUCGUUGGCGAUGUCACCUGAUGGUCGUUAUAUGGCAUCAGGUGAUGAAGAUGGAAAAAUCAUGGUGUGGGAUCUUGCAAGUGGUCGUUGUAUUACCCCUUUGGUUGGUCACACCUCUUGUGUAUGGACACUUGAUUUCAGCUGUGAAGGUUGUCUUCUUGCAUCUGGUUCUGCUGAUUGCACUGUGAAAUUAUGGGAUGUAACCACGAGUACCAAGAUGCCAAAAUCUGAAGAGAAUUUCUUGAAGUACCAAUAGGCUUCGAUCAUUGAAGACUCUCCCUACUAAAUCCACUCCAUUAUAUGCUUUGCGGUUUUCUCGAAGAAACCUUCUCUUUGCUGCUGGUGCUUUCUCAAAAAGUGUAUAAUGUGACGACACAUUCACUUUGGAAAAUUUAGAGGGGAUUAUGGCUUCUAGAUUACGGCAUGCCAUCAAUUCUGAGGGAGCAGGACGAUAAACCGGGGAGAACUUAGGUUGCUUUUGGACGAUUCGGGAAAAGGUGUUUAUUGGGAGAGUAAGAGCAGUUGGAAAUUCUUCUACUUGCUUUAGUUUUCAUAUGCUUCGAUUUUAGAUUAGCCUUUAUUUAUAGGAUUUUAUCUUUACUGCCUGAGAUCUAAUUAUGUUAUAUUAGCUAUAAUUUAAGCAACCCCCACAUUUAAGUGUCUCCUACUAGAUGUUCAUGCAUACAAUGAUUAGGAAGUUGACAAGUUACUUGUGUUAUAGUAGAAUUGUAUCUAGAAUCAAGUGCAAAUACUCUGUAUAGAUAAAUUAUUUAUAAAAGGCAUUGGGGGAUUCAUUUGUAAUAGAACAUCAGCUUGGAACAAUUGAAUUCUCCUCCUACUAUACUACUUUUAUAGAACCUAACUGCAUAUAAAGUAUUUUAUUACAGAAAA